UACGGAUGGUGCGAGCGUUAAUCGGAAUUACUGGGCGUAAAGCGCGCGUAGGCGGAUAGGUCAGUCAGAAGUGAAAGCCCCGGGCUCAACCUGGGAAUUGCUUUUGAUACUGCUUGGCUAGAGUUUGGGAGAGGAUAGUGGAAUUCCAGGUGUAGCGGUGAAAUGCGUAGAUAUCUGGAGGAACAUCAGUGGCGAAGGCGACUGUCUGGACCAAAACUGACGCUGAGGUGCGAAAGCGUGGGUAGCAAACAGGAUUAGAUACCCUGGUAGUCCACGCCGUAAACGAUGUCAACUAGCCGUCGGGUCUAUUUACAGACUUGGAGGCGCAGCUAACGCGAUAAGUUGACCGUGCUGGGGAGUACGGCCGCAAGGUUAAAACUCAAAGGAAUUGACGGGGGCCCGCUCAAGCGGUGGAGCAUGUGGUCUAAUUCGAUGCAACGCGAAGAACCUUACCAGCUCUUGACAUCCAGAGAACUUUCUAGAGAUAGAUUGGUGCCUUCGGGAACUCUGAGACAGGUGCUGCAGGGCUGUCGUCAGCUCGUGUCGCGAGAUGUUGGGCUAAGUCCCGUAACGAGCGCAACCCUUACCCUUAGUUGCCAGCACGUAGUGGUGGGAACUCUAAGGCGACCACCGGGGCCAAACCGGAGGAAGGUGGGGAAGACGCCAAGUCAUCAUGGCCCUUAUGACCUGGGCUCCACACGUGCUCCAAUGGGCAGUCCAGAGGGCUGCAAAGCCGCGAGGGGGAGCUAAUCUCCCAAAACUGUUCGUAGUUCGGAUCGCAGUCUGCAACUCGACUGCGUGAAGUCGGAAUCGCUAGUAAUCGCAGAUCAGCAUGCCGCGGUGAAUACGUUCCCGGGCCU
rnacentral:rRNA from 1 species